rnacentral:rRNA from 1 species
GAUCAUGGCUCAGGAUGAACGCUAGCUACAGGCUUAACACGUGCAAGUCGAGGGGCAGCAUUUUAGUUUGCUUGCAAACUAAAGAUGGCGACCGGCGCACGGGUGAGUAACACGUAUCCAACCUGCCGAUAACUCAGGGAUAGCCUUUCGAAAGAAAGAUUAAUACCUGAUGGCAUAGGAUUAUCGCAUGAUAAUCCUAUUAAAGAAUUUCGGUUAUCGAUGGGGAUGCGUUCCAUUAGG